GAUGAACGCUGUCUACAGGCUUAACACAUGCAAGUCGAGGGGAAACGACGGGGAAGCUUGCUUCCCCGGGCGUCGACCGGCGCACGGGUGAGUAACGCGUAUCCAACCUGCCUCUGACUGAGGGAUAACCCGUCGAAAGUCGGCCUAAUACCUCAUGGCAUCGUCUGCGGGCAUCCAACGACGAUUAAAGAUUUCAUCGGUCAGGGAUGGGGAUGCGUCUGAUUAGCUUGUUGGCGGGGUAACGGCCCACCAAGGCUACGAUCAGUAGGGGUUCUGAGAGGAAGGUCCCCCACAUGGGAACUGAGACACGGUCCAAACGCCUACGGGAGGCAGCAGUGAGGAAUAUUGGUCAAUGGGCGGGAGCCUGAACCAGCCAAGUAGCGUGCAGGAUGACGGCCCUAUGGGUUGUAAACUGCUUUUAUGCGGGGAUAAAGUGAGGGACGUGUCCUUCAUUGCAGGUACCGCAUGAAUAAGGACCGGCUAAUUCCGUG
rnacentral:rRNA from 1 species